rnacentral:lncRNA from 1 species
ACAGCUUAGGGGAGCUUGCUUGUGAUCCAACGGAUUACACACAUUCCCCAUGGCCUUUAAAGGCUGAAUGAUCUUGCCCUUUUCUCAUUUCCUUCUUAUUCCUUUGUCUUUUUCACUCGAUAGAGAGAGAGAGAGUGAGAGAGAAAGAGAUAGAAAAGAAAACUCGAGAGGCCAUCAUGCUCCGUCCUUCCUCAUCGUGCAAAAAUGAUUGUGUAUUGAUUCUCACAAUCACAUGGUGAGUUUCCUUCUCUUUUUUUUUUCUAGUUCUGUUCUUCCUUUUGGAGUGUGAAGCCA